rnacentral:rRNA from 1 species
GUAAACCCCUUUCGACCGGGACGAUUAUGACGGUACCGGUGGAAGAAGCCCCGGCUAACUUCGUGCCAGCAGCCGCGGUAAUACAAAGGGGGCUAGCGUUGUUCGGAAUUAUUGGGCGUAAAGGGCGCGUAGGCGGUGCGGCAAGUCACGUGUGAAAUCCCCGGGCUCAACUCGGGGCCUGCACGCGAAACUGUAGUGCUGGAGUGUGGGAGAGGUGCGUGGAAUUCCCGGUGUAGCGGUGAAAUGCGUAUAUAUCGGGAGGAACACCUGUGGCGAAAGCGGCGCACUGGACCAUUACUGACGCUGAGGCGCGAAAGCUUGGGGAGCAAACAGGAUUAGAUACCCUGGUAGUCCUAGCCCUAAACGAUGAUUGCUUG